rnacentral:rRNA from 1 species
UACAGAGGUCUCGAGCGUUGUUCGGAUUCAUUGGGCGUAAAGGGUGCGUAGGUGGCGUGGUAAGUCGGAUGUGAAAUCCCGGGGCUCAACCCUGGAACUGCAUUCGAUACUGCCAUGCUUGAGUACUGGAGAGGAGAUUGGAAUUUACGGUGUAGCAGUGAAAUGCGUAGAUAUCGUAAGGAAGACCAGUGGCGAAGGCGGAUCUCUGGACAGUUACUGACACUGAGGCACGAAGGCCAGGGGAGCAAACGGG